rnacentral:misc_RNA from 1 species
CCAUGUAAUUCAGUCAUGCUGCUGCGUGAGCUGUAUAAACCCACCCUGCGUACGCUGUCCUGUUGCUUCCGCCGGGCGGAUAUACGCCCGGCGGAAGGGAAAGAAUAACCUCCGAGCUUACUACUGAAUCUGUCUGAAUGAAUAGGAGCAACAAACUGUUA